rnacentral:rRNA from 1 species
CAGUCGCCGCGGUAAUACGUAGGUGGCAAGCGUUGUCCGGAAUUAUUGGGCGUAAAGGGCUCGCAGGCGGUUUCUUAAGUCUGAUGCGAAAGCCCCCGGCUCAACCGGGGAGGGUCAUUGGAAACUGGGAAACUUGAGUGCAGAAGAGGAGAGUGGGAUUCCACGUGUAGCGGUGGAAUGCGUAGAGAUGUGGAGGAACACCAGUGGCGAAGGCGACUCUCUGGUCUGUAACUGACGCUGAGGAGCGAAAGCGUGGGGAGCGAACAGGAUUAGAUACCCCUGUAGUCCCUGUCUCUUAUAC